rnacentral:rRNA from 1 species
AUGAACGCUGGCGGCGUGCCUAACCCAUGCAAGUCGCGCGGCAGCGAGGGGUGCUUGCACCCUGUCGGCGAGCGGCGGACGGCUGAGUAACGCGUGGGAACGUGCCCCAAAGUGAGGAAUAACUGCCCGAAAGGGUAGCUAAUACCGCAUAUUAUCUUCGGAUCAAAGGAUUUAUCCGCUUUGGGAGCGGCUCGCGUCGGCUUAGGUAGGUGGUGAGGUAAUGGCUCACCAAGCCGACGAUCCGUAGCUGGUCUGGGAGGAUGACCAGCCAGACUGGAACGGAGGCCCGGUCCAGACUCCUACGGGAGGCAGCAGUGAGGAAUCUUCCACACUGGGCGAAAGCCUGAUGGAGCAGCGCCGCGUGCAGGACGAAGGCCUUCGGGUUGUAAACUGCUUUUAUAAGUGAGGAAUAUGACGGUAACUUAUGAAUAAGGAUCGGCUAACUACGUG